GAUGAACGCUGGCGGCGUGCCUAAUACAUGCAAGUCGAGCGCACAGACGAGGUGCUUGCUCCUCUGACGUUAGCGGCGGACGGGUGAGUAACACGUGGAUAACCUACCUAUAAGACUGGGAUAACUUCGGGAAACCGGAGCUAAUACCGGAUAAUAUAUUGAACCGCAAGGUUCAAUAGUGAAAGACGCUUUUGCUUUCACUAAUAGAGAGCUCCGAGCCGGCUUAGCUAGUUGGUGAGGUAAAGGCCUACCAAGGGAAAGAACAUGAGCCGACCCUGGGGGGGUGUCGGGCCACAUGGGAACGGGAAACGGGUCCAGACUCCUACGGGGGGAACCGGAGGGGAAUCUUCGGCAAGGGGGGAAAGCCGGACGGAGCAACGCGGCGUGGGUGAUGAAGGUCUUCGGAUCGUAAACUUCUUUUGUUGGGAAGGAACAAAGGUGGAAUUGAAUAUGCACGACGUGACGGUACCUAAUCAGAAAGCCACGGCUAACUACGUG
rnacentral:rRNA from 1 species